rnacentral:rRNA from 1 species
GUUAGGAAUAUUGGACAAUGGACGCAAGUCUGAUCCAGCCAUGCCGCGUGAGUGAUGAAGGCCUUCGGGUUGUAAAGCUCUUUAGCCGAUGAUUAUAAUGACUGUAGUCGGAAAAUAAGCCCCGGCUAACUUCGUGCCAGCAGCCGCGGUAAUACGAAGGGGGCGAGCGUUAUUCGGAAUCACUGGGCGUAAGGCGUGCGUAGGCGGUUUUGUAAGUUGGGAGUGAAAGCCCAGGGCUCAACCCUGGAAUUGCUCUCAAAACUGCAAGGCUCGAAUUCGGGAGAGGAUAGCGGAAUUGUCAGUGUAGCAGUGAAAUGCGUAGAUAUUGACAGGAACACCAGUGGCGUAAGCGGCUAUCUGGACCGAUAUUGACGCUGAGGCACGAAAGCGUGGGGAUCAAACAGGAUUAGAUACCCGUGUAGUCC